GUCUGAGUCGAGCUUGUUCACUUCACCUGUCUUAGUUGUUGACACUACGCCUCUCAGCUUAUGAUUAACUUUGAUCUGCUUCUCAUCAAAGUUUCCACUAAUCCCAAGGUGACGACAGUUGAGGCCUUCCGGGUUACAGAAGGAAUCAUUCUUGGCUAUAUCGAUCACCAAAUCACGAACCAUCAUGUCAUGAAUCUUGCAAGUGAUGAUGGUUCCGCUAUAUAUAGGUUUUGUCAACAACUUCUGUUAGACACCUGUUUGUUUAUGAGCCCCCGUAGAAAGAAAGCAGUCUUCUCCAGAUUCAGUUGCAGAUCUUCCCUUUCUCAACAUGACAAACCCUUCUCCAAUCCAUCCGUUUACAAGCUGCUGUUUUGGCGUAUAACACAGUCUUCUGGAUAGAGCGAGAGCGUGAGAAAGCAUGAUUUUAAGAUGGCAAGAGAGUUCGUCGUAACUCAACUGCAGAGAAGACAUCACAUUCUGCUAUGGAAGGCAUACAUUUAUUUUGAGGUAUUACAAGGGGAACUAGACAGGACACAAGCGGCUCUUGGACCGUAUAAAGCAUUACAAGGUGUGGCUUAGUUUUGCAAAGUUUGAAGCUUCUGCUGCUGAAGACAAUGUUAAAAUUGAACACUCCAGAGGGAUUCCCGACAAAGACAACCAUACCACAAUGUUUAUCUCAAGAUUCUUGAAGCUUAAAGUUGUUUUGCUUUCUUACUACUUUGUACUUCCUUGCUCAUCUGUUCGACAAAGCACUCAAUUUAAAAACAUAUGAAGGAUCAGAUUGCAUUGGUUUUACUAGUAAAUUUACACAGAGUUUAUAGGUCACCCAACUAGCCUGCAUUUUAUUGAAAGUCUUGCUGAGAGGUAAAGAGCAAACAAAGAAGAAAAUGGAAUAUUCCAACUUUUCCAUACGUAUAGCAGAAUCUUCCUCGUGUUCUUCCUACAUAGACUAGAGUCUGGAGACAAGACGGAAAGCACAGUAUGUUUCCAACAACAACAACAAAAA